rnacentral:rRNA from 1 species
AUUGAACGCUGGCGGCAUGCCUUACACAUGCAAGUCGAACGGCAGCACGGGAGCAAUCCUGGUGGCGAGUGGCGAACGGGUGAGUAAUAUAUCGGAACAUACCCUAGAGUGGGGGAUAACGUAGCGAAAGUUACGCUAAUACCGCAUACGCACUAAGGUGGAAAGUGGGGGAUCUUCGGACCUCAUGCUCAUGGAGUGGCCGAUAUCUGAUUAGCUAGUUGGUGAGGUAAAGGCUCACCAAGGCAACGAUCAGUAGCUGGUUUGAGAGAACGACCAGCCACACUGGAACUGAGACACGGUCCAGACUCCUACGGGAGGCAGCAGUGGGGAAUUUUGGACAAUGGGGGCAACCCUGAUCCAGCAAUGCCGCGUGAGUGAAGAAGGCCUUCGGUUGUAAGCUCUUUGU